UACGUAGGGGCUAGCGUUGUCCGGAAUCAUUGGGCGUAAAGAGCGUGUAGGCGGUCCGGUAAGUCCGUUGUGAAAGUCAGGGGCUCAACCCUUGAAUGCCGGCGGAUACUGUCGGGCUAGAGUCCGGAAGAGGCGAGUGGAAUUCCCGGUGUAGCGGUGAAAUGCGCAGAUAUCGGGAGGAACACCAAUGGCGAAGGCAGCUCGCUGGGACGUUACUGACGCUGAGACGGCGAAAGCGUGGGAGCGAACAGG
rnacentral:rRNA from 1 species